UGCCAUCAUCCUCGGUAAUACUGAGUGUGCGAGCUUGAAUCGGAAUCACUGGGCGUAAAGCGUACGUAGGCGGCGUAUCAAGUCAGGCGCGAAAGCCUUCGGCUCAACCGAGGAAUUGCGUUUGAAACUGGUAUGCUAGAGUCUCGGAGAGGUUGGCGGAAUUCCAGGUGUAGGAGUGAAAUCCGUAGAUAUCUGGAGGAACACCGGUGGCGAAGGCGGCCAACUGGACGAGUACUGACGCUGAGGUACGAAAGCGUGGGGAGCAAACAGGAUUAGAUA
rnacentral:rRNA from 1 species